GUUAGAGGUUGGGUCUUUGCGGGCAAGGUGAGUAGUUAAAUUUACUCUCAACUGGCCUACAAAGUCCCAGUUUCUGGC
rfam:Danio rerio chromosome 3, GRCz11 reference primary assembly.